AUGGCGAAGAGCAAUCCUGGUUAUCUUGGCGUCUCCGAGCCAAUCUCAUUAGGCGGGCCAACUGAGAAGGAUGUCGUACAGACAGCCGAGGUCGAAAAGUUUCUUGCUGAUGCGGGCUUGUAUGAGAGUCAAGAGGAGGCUGUCUCGCGAGAAGAGGUCUUAGGCAAACUUGACCAGACUGUGAAAACUUGGAUUAAGAAGGCCACUAGGGUGAGCGGUUAUGGCGAGCAGUUUGUGCAAGAAGCAAAUGCUAAGAUCUUCACAUUUGGUUCAUACCGCCUUGGGGUGCACGGUCCUGGCGCAGAUAUUGACACGCUAUGUGUGGGUCCAAGACAUGCAACUCGAAAUGACUACUUCUUCAGGUGUCUUCACGAUAUGCUAGCCGAGAUGCCAGAAGUUUCUGAAUUACACCCAGUACCAGAUGCUCAUGUGCCUGUUUUGGGUUUCAAACUUUGUGGGGUGUCUAUUGACCUUUUAUAUGCAAACCUUGCACAUGUGGUUAUUCCUGAUGAUCUUGAUCUUUCUCAGGACUCCAUACUGCACAAUGUUGAUGAACAGGCUGUUCGUAGUUUAAAUGGGUGUCGAGUUACUGAUCAAAUCUUACGAUUGGUCCCGAACAUUCCGAGUUUUCGCACAACCUUAAGGUUCAUGAGAUACUGGGGGAAGCGCCGUGGGGUGUACUCAAACGUUAUGGGAUUCUUGGGUGGCAUAAAUUGGGCAAUUCUUGUUGCUCGUAUAUGUCAAUUGUACCCAAAUGCAUCACCCAGCAUGUUGAUAUCUCGUUUUUUCAGAGUCUACAGCCAGUGGAAGUGGCCCAACCCUGUUACACUUUGCCAUAUUGAGGAGGGUCCUCUUGGCCUCCCUGUUUGGGAUCCAAGAAGAAACUUUAGAGACAGGGGCCAUCAGAUGCCUAUAAUUACACCCGCCUAUCCUUGUAUGAAUUCUAGUUAUAACGUAUCUACUAGUACUAGGUAUGUGAUGGUCCAAGAAUUCACACGAGGAUACGAGAUCUGCCAGGCAAUAGAUGAAAAUAGAGCAACCUGGGAUGAUUUAUUCGAGCCAUAUCCAUUUUUUGAAUUAUAUAAAAAUUAUUUGGAGGUUGGUAUCACAGCAAGAAAUGAAGAUGACCUCAGGAAUUGGAAAGGUUGGGUAGAGUCUCGCCUUCGGACGCUUGUAUUAAAGUUUGAACGAUAUACUCAUGAGAUGCUCCUUGCACAUCCGCAUCCCAGAGAUUUCUCAGAUGGAUCUAGGCCGUUGCAUAGUUUUUACUUCAUGGGUCUUUGGAGAAAACAAACCGCCCAACCUCAAGAAGCUGAGCAAUUUGACAUCAGAGGAAUCGUAAAUGAGUUUAAGAGCGCAGUUCUUGCUUAUGCACAUCGGAGAGAAGGAAUGGAUAUUGAAGUGUCCCAUGUAAAAAGAAAAGAUAUCCCUUUGUUUGUUUUUCCUGGUGGGGUGCGCCCUCCUCGGUCUUCCAGAACAGUAGCCAGGAGCAGUCGCACUGUUUCUAGGAAUGCUGUUACAGCUGAUGGUCAAGUUGGAAAUCCAUCGGGCGCUGAAAGUUGGAGUGAUCCUCAAUCUGCCCUAGAUCAUUCUGGUGGCUAUCAAAGUACUUUGUUGGUCCCCAGUGUAUCAAGUAAAGAAACCCAAAGUAUUUUGAAUGGACAUUCAAAUCUUCACACAGAAUCCCUUGAGCAUGAACUUCCAGGGCACUUUCUUGGAAGUACAUCUGCUCCUGGGAACAUUGCUGUGUUGGAUGUAGUUACACAACCUAAUAGUAUGCCAUCUACUUCAAGCAAUGGUGCUCCAACAAAUGGGCUGGACAUUUGUUUCAAUAGUUUACAUAGGGAAGCUGAGGGGAUUCCUGCAAAUAAUCCUGUGAAUUUCUCUCCGGCUGUGGUUGAUGAGCUUGAUGAGCUGGCAUCAUAUCAAGCUAAGCCUGACAAUAAGCAUGUGCCUCCUGUUCAUGAAUCAUCUUUGGAAAGAUGUUCUGGAAGGACCGUGGGGCAAACAUGUAAUUUGAGUUCUCAUGGUAAUAAUCAUCUGAAGCGCAAGGCUGAGGAAGAGCUGGAGCCACUUGAGCUUGCUGGCCCACCAGUUGCCGCCACUCGUGCAUCAACAUCAACCGUUCAAAGAAAGCCCCUCAGGCUUAGAUUGUCAACUGUGCCGCAACCAAAACAAGCUGAAUGA
rnacentral:rRNA from 1 species